rnacentral:lncRNA from 1 species
UGUGCAUGUAUAUCUGUGUAAUUUCAAAUAUCAAAAUGUGUGUGCAUGUAUAUCUGUGUAUGUGUGUGUUUGUGUGUAUGCGUGUCUAUGUGAAUAUGCUUAUAGAGCAUUAAUAUACAAGUUUAAUCAUUUAAUUUCAGUGUGUGUUGUGUGUCUGUGAGCCUAUUCUCCAUUUUGGAUGUUUAACUGUCAGCCAUACAUCCAGGUUGGCCAAGACCACCUCAAAGGCCUUAAAGUGCUUGAACCCCGGUAAUUGCUGCUUGCAGCUAUAUUUAUUAUUAUUAUUCUUCUGCCCUAAAACUGAUCGUGCAGACCAAACCGUAAGGCCUAGAGACUUGAAAUUUGGCCAGAUUGUAGAGCUCAAUUUGGGGAGAACCUAUCAAAGUCUCGACCCAAUCGGCCUAACGGGGGCGCUACAGCGCAAAAUACAAAAAUUUCAGACAUUUUUGGCCCGCAGUCGUAAACCGUUUGACGUAGACUCAAAAACUUUACAUCGUUGUAAUCCUUGGGUCAGUCCGAACAAAAGUGGAGUCCGAAAUUUUUGCUCUACGACGCACGGUUUUUCCGCAAAAUUGUGUUAUAUCCGAAACCUACUUUUGGUAUGCAGUGUCUUUGUCGGAAAGGGCACAAGUAUCUUUGAGGACAUUUGCGUAUCUCAAAAAACAUGGCCGCCAUUGGCCAAACAAAUUAAGCACCUAUUGAAAGGGUUAACGGAGGUCAAUCGGAACGAAACUCAGUGGGCAUGUUCGACUCAUGGACCUUAAGGUCUGUAAGAAUUUUGAAAGAAAUCGGCCACUAGUUGGCGCUAACGAGUUUUAUGGCUCUGUAAUCACGUGGUGUUUCACAUAUCAACACAAUAUGCAUAUCAUUUGAUAGAUCUCCUCAUAAUGCACAACUUUGCCUCAAGAACCAUUGGUGUCAAUCAAAUCGUUUAAUAAUUAUUCACAAAUAUGUUAAAAACCUACUUUUGCGAACUAGUCCUAGGUUUUUCACCCGAUCGGAACCAAACCACUGCAGUAAUAUUCUCUGGACUCUCUAGAUCAAUAAUUAUCCAAAACAUUUUGAAAUUUGUCCUUUGGUUACUUGUAACAGUGCCAUUUAUUAAAGGGGUGUGGCCAAAUGUACCAAAAAGCCUAUAAAACCUAAACGAAAGAUAAUGCACAACUUUGCCUCAAGAACCAUUGGUGUCAAUCAAAUCGUUUAAUAAUUAUUCACAAAUAUGUUAAAACCUACUUUGCGAACUAGUCCUAGGUUUUUCACCCGAUCGGAACCAAACCACUGCAGUAGUAUUCUCUGGACUCUCUAGAUCAAUAAUUAUCCAAAACAUGUUGAAAUUUGUCCUU